rnacentral:lncRNA from 1 species
GUCAAAGGCGGGGGAUUUGGGGGAAAGCCCAGUGCGCUGAAUGCCUGCUCAAUGUAAUCUCACAGGGAUGACUGACUCUCUCUUCAGUCAUUCAAGGAUACCACUCACUUAAUCUGCCUUGGGCUUUAGUUUGAGAAGCUGGCUUUGUAGCAGCAGCUUCCAGCUACCAUGGUAAGUUCCAAACUGUUUCUGCUUUUAAUUUU